rnacentral:lncRNA from 1 species
AUGGGGGGGGGGGUGUUGGGGCCGGGGGGGCGGCUGCAGGGAGCGGGGGGCCGGGGGUCCUGCCACGGGCAGGGGGAGGAGGGCGGCACCAGCGUGCCCACCGCGCUCAGCACCGUGGUGCUGUGCCUGCAGGGCACGAGCAUCACGCCCGCUGCCUCCCCGCUCCUGCCGUGGCGCAGCUCGUGUCCCCCGGCUCCCCCCUUCCACCGGGGGGGGCUUCACGCCCAUGAACCCGGGUGCUGUGCCUGGACGCCCAGGUGCCACCGCCCGUGGCACAAAAGGAGCGCGUGGUGGAAAAUUGGCACCGGAUGGUUUUCCUCCCCCUCCUGCCCCCCCAGAUAUGCCUCCCUGCUGGCCCACAGAGGCGGCCGGGAGCAGGCACCUGCCUGCAGCCACGUCCCCCCCCUGCCCCACCAGCACCUCCCAGCUCAGCACCAAGCAGACCCGGAGCCUGGGCAGAGCUGGCCGGGGCUGGGGUGGGCUACCCAGCGCUGUGCCCCGUGCCCAGCCCCUGGCCAGGAGCCCCGAGGCCCUGCUGGUCCCUGUCCCCCCUGCAGCAGCGCCCAGGUGCCGCAGGAGGUACGGGGGUGCAGCGGUGGGGCUGGGGGCACCUGCAGGGCACGGGGUCCCCUCGCCGCAGGACGCUGCCACGCUUCCCUUAGGGCAGCGCCGUGGUGGGGGGGCCUCCGUCCCUUGCUGAGCUGCGGCUCUGCCUGCGUUCAGCCCGGGCGGCUCCUUGUCCCCUUGGGCACCCGGCACGUGGAGAGGGAAGCCGCGCAGAGCUGGGGGCCUGGCACCUCCGUCUCCCAUCCCUGCCCUGCAGGAGCUGACCCCUUCCUUCGCGGGAAGGGCGGGGGGUUGGGGGUUCAGAGCAGGGGACACCACUUCGGGGGUCUAACCCUGCAGGCCUGGGGAGCCGCAGGGACCCGUGGAGCCAGGGGCGCCCUGCCCGCACCCUGCCCGUGCCCCCCGCGGGGCUGUGCCGGGUGGAGGGCGCUGCGCCUUGCUCUCUUGCUGCGUUGGUUGCUUUCUUUUGCAGCUGCUAAUGACUGA